rnacentral:rRNA from 1 species
GACGAACGCUGGCGGCGUGCUUAACACAUGCAAGUCGAGCGGUAAGGCUCCUUCGGGAGUACACGAGCGGCGAACGGGUGAGUAACACGUGAACAAUCUGCCCAUCACUUUGGGAUAACUUCGGGAAACCGAAGCUAAUACCGAAUACGACCACCUCGGGCAUCCGAUGGUGGUGGAAAGUUCCGGCGGUGAUGGAUGAGCUCGCGGCCUAUCAGCUUGUUGGUGGGGUAACGGCCUACCAAGGCUUCGACGGGUAGCCGGCCUGAGAGGGUGACCGGCCACACUGGGACUGAGACACGGCCCAG